rnacentral:rRNA from 1 species
AUGGCACAAUUCACUACGAAAGGUCUGAAUCUUGGUCGUGCACCUCAAGUUGGUGUGAGAUUUAAAAAUCUAGACGAGGCUUGGUCGUCUUGGGUUAAUUAUGGCGAUCAAGUAGGCUUCAAGGUCAGAAAAAGGUACACAAAUAAAAGCAAGUUUGAUGGUAAGGUCACUUCAUGUAGAUAUGUUUGUGCAAAGGAGGGUUAUCGAAGACAAGACAAUCGAAAUCGUGUGAUAAAGAAUCCUCGAGCUGAAACAAGAACAUUGUGUGAUGUUCAUAUGACUCUUACACUAGAUCGAAUGGUAGGAGAUUAUGAAGUGACUGAACUAGUUGUUGUGCACAAUCACAAUCUUUAUUUGCCGCAAACCUUUCAUUUGAUGGUAUCACAAUGGAAGAUUUCAGAAGUGCAAGCCUUUGAAAUUGAAACAGACGAUGAUACGGGAAUCACACCAAAAGUUGCACAUGAGUUGGCUAGUCGCCAAGUUGGUGGGCCAAUGAAUCUUUCCUACACUUGUCGUGACCAGAAAAACCAUUUACAGAGCAAGCGCCAGAGAGAAUUGGCCUAUGAUCAAGCAGGAAGCAUGUUGAAGUAUUUUCAGGACAAGAUUGCUGAGAACCCUUCCUUCAAUUAUACUUUGCAAUUGGAUUGUGAAGAAGCCAUAGCCAAUAUAUUUUGGGCUGAUGCUAAGAUGAUAAUUGAUUAUGCACACUUUGGAGAUGUUGUUACCUUCGACACGACCUUUGGCACAAACAAAGAAUAUAGACCUUUCGGUGUCUUUGUUGGAUUCAAUUAG